GCUGAGUCCAUGGCAGAAGUUUUGGUGGUCAGCAUCACCUAGGCAACAUUUUAUUCUCUUCUGCUGCAGAGGAAAUCUGCCAUCCAGUGUUAAAGUUGACAGGAAACAGCUGAAAGACACACACAGUGGUGCAAGCUGGGCAGCUGGACACUUUGUGCAUGGAGAAUCUUGAGCAUUUGGUAACAUUUGGCAGCUUAACACAGAAAAAAAUGACUGCUAGCAAAAUCUCAACUGCUGCUAAUUAGCAGCAAUGAACUGUGGGUAGGACAGUGCAUUUUAAUGUGAGAAGAUUUUUACAGUAACCACCACACUAAGAGGCGGGGGGGUAUAGAAAGAAAUGCUCCCUAGCUGACCCUAGUGGCAAUCCAAGCUGCAUAUUGCAAUAAUCCUGUAAAUUACUAUGCUUUCUUAUACAGUAACUUGGAGUUAAUUAGUAAUUUAACAUUCCUCUACACUAUUAAAUGUCUUUUUUGCAUUAUAUUAUGUUGUUUCAUGGGCUUACCUUAACACUAAUGGGG
rnacentral:lncRNA from 1 species